rnacentral:rRNA from 1 species
CCUACGGGUGGCAGCAGUGAGGAAUAUUGGUCAAUGGGCGGGAGCCUGAACCAGCCAAGUCGCGUGAGGGACGACUGUCCUAUGGAUUGUAAACCUCUUUUGUCGGGGAACAAAGGCGUCCACGGGUGGGCGGAUGAGUGUACCCGAAGAAAAAGCAUCGGCUAACUCCGUGCCAGCAGCCGCGGUAAUACGGAGGAUGCGAGCGUUAUCCGGAUUUAUUGGGUUUAAAGGGUGCGCAGGCGGCCUGUUAAGUCAGCGGUAAAAGUUUGGGGCUCAACCCCGACGAGCCGUUGAAACUGGCGGGCUGGAGUUGGGGAGAGGUGCGCGGAAUGCGCGGUGUAGCGGUGAAAUGCUUAGAUAUCGCGCAGAACUCCGAUUGCGAAGGCAGCAUACCGGCGCUCAACUGACGCUCAGGCACGAAAGUAUGGGUAUCGAACAGGAUUAGAUACCCCAGUAGUC